rnacentral:rRNA from 1 species
CAGCCGCCGCGGGAAUACAAAGGGGGCUAGCGUUGCUCGGAAUGACUGGGCGUAAAGGGCGCGUAGGCGGAUGGCACAGUCAGAUGUGAAAUUCCCGGGCUUAACCUGGGGGCUGCAUUUGAUACGUGUUGUCUAGAGUGAGGAAGAGGGUCGUGGAAUUCCCAGUGUAGAGGUGAAAUUCGUAGAUAUUGGGAAGAACACCGGUGGCGAAGGCGGCGACCUGGUCCUUUACUGACGCUGAGGCGCGAAAGCGUGGGGAGCAAACAGGAUUAGAUACCCCAGUAGUCCCUGUCUCUUAUAC